rnacentral:rRNA from 1 species
GAUGAACGCUGGCGGCGUGCCUAAUACAUGCGAGUCGAGCGAACAGACGAGGAGCUUGCUCCUCUGACGUUAGCGGCGGACGGGUGAGUAACACGUGGAUAGCCUACCUAUAAGACUGGGAUAACUUCGGGAAACCGGAGCUAAUACCGGAUAAUAUAUUGAACCGCAUGGUUCAAUAGUGAAAGACGGUUUUGCUGUCACUUAUAGAUGGAUCCGCGCCGCAUUAGCUAGUUGGUAAGGUAACGGCUUUCCAAGGCAACGAUGCGUAGCCGACCUGAGAGGGUGAUCGGCCACACUGGAACUGAGACACGGUCCAGACUCCUACGGGAGGCAGCAGUAGGGAAUCUUCCGCAAUGGGCGAAAGCCUGACGGAGCAACGCCGCGUGAGUGAUGAAGGUCUUCGGAUCGUAAAACUCUGUUAUUAGGGAAGAACAAAUGUGUAAGUAACUAUGCACGUCUUGACGGUACCUAAUCAGAAAGCCACGGCUAACUACGUG